UCAGACGAUGCGUCAUGCAUAUCAAUAAGCGGAGGAAAAGAAACUAACAAGGAUUCCCUCAGUAACGGCGAGUGAAGCGGGAAGAGCUCAAAUUUGAAAUCUUGAAAGGUCACCUUUCACGAAUUGUAGUUUAAAGAAGUGUUUUCUGUUACGAUCGUAAUAUAAGUUCUUUGGAAUAGGACAUCACAGAGGGUGAGAAUCCCGUCUAUGAUUGCGAUUUGUAGCUUUGUGAUACACUUUCAAAGAGUCGGGUUGUUUGGGAAUGCAGCCCAAAACGGGAGGUAAAUUUCUUCUAAGGCUAAAUAUUGGCGAGAGACCGAUAGCGAACAAGUACCGUGAGGGAAAGAUGAAAAGAACUUUGAAAAGAGAGUUAAACAGUACGUGAAAUUGUCAAAAGGGGAAGCGUUUGACACCAGUGUUGUUUUUCUCGAAAAUCAAUUAAAAAUGGCUCGAUUUUGUAUUGCUGAGACCUUAAAAGCUCACUGUACAUUUUUCGUGUCUUUUUUAAUGCACUUUUCGUUUAACAAGUCAACAUCAGUUUCUUUUGUUGUAAAAGGGUCAUUGGAAGGUGGCUUUCUUUUCGGAGAAAGUGUUUAUAGCCUUUGGCCUCUGCAAUCGAAGAGACUGAGGUCUGCAGCGUAGACUCUUCGGGGUUAGAUACAUUUGUGCUAAGUUAUAGCUUUUUAUAGACAACUUGUUGACUAUAAUUAGUCUUGUAGCUUACUCGCUUAUGCUAUUUUACCUACGCUUAGGAUGUUGAAGACUCUACAGAGAU
rnacentral:rRNA from 1 species